UGGGGAAUUUUGGACAAUGGGCGAAAGCCUGAUCCAGCAAUGCCGCGUGUGUGAAGAAGGCCUUCGGGUUGUAAAGCACUUUUGUCCGGAAAGAAGUCCUUGGCUCUAAUACAGUCGGGGGAUGACGGUACCGGAAGAAUAAGCACCGGCUAACUACGUGCCAGCAGCCGCGGUAAUACGUAGGGUGCAAGCGUUAAUCGGAAUUACUGGGCGUAAAGCGUGCGCAGGCGGUUUGCUAAGACCGAUGUGAAAUCCCCGGGCUCAACCUGGGAACUGCAUUGGUGACUGGCAGGCUAGAGUAUGGCAGAGGGGGGUAGAAUUCCACGUGUAGCAGUGAAAUGCGUAGGAUGUGGAGGAAUACCGAUGGCGAAGGCAGCCCCCUGGGCCAAUACUGACGCUCAUGCACGAAAGCGUGGGGAGCAAAACAGGAUUAGAUACCCUGGUAGUCCACGCCCUAAACGAUGUCAACUAGUUGUUGGGGAUUCAUUUCCUUAGUAACGUAGCUAACGCGUGAAGUUGACCGCCUGGGGAGUACGGUCGCAAGAUU
rnacentral:rRNA from 1 species